rnacentral:misc_RNA from 1 species
UGGUUCUGGCAUCGAUGAAGAACGCAGCGAAAUGCGAUAAGUAAUGUGAAUUGCAGAAUUCAGUGAAUCAUCGAAUCUUUGAACGCACAUUGCGCCCUCUGGCAUUCCGGGGGGCAUGCCCGUUCGAGCGUCAUUAAAUCCAAUCAAGCCUGGCUUGGUAUUGGGCGUCGGGAGGUCCCCGCGCCCGAAAGUCACCGGCUGGCCGAGGACCGUCUUAGCGUUGUGACACACAAUAAUUCGCUUUCCGACGGGGUUGGACAAGUCUAGCCGUUAAACGCAACGAAUUUCUCGCGAAAUUUGAUUAAGGUUGACCUCGGAUCGGGUAGGAAUACCCGCUGA